rnacentral:rRNA from 1 species
AUUGAACGCUGGCGGCAGGCCUAACACAUGCAAGUCGAACGAGUGGCGGACGGGUGAGUAAUGUCUGGGAAACUGCCUGAUGGAGGGGGAUAACUACUGGAAACGGUAGCUAAUACCGCAUACCAUCAGAUGUGCCCAGAUGGGAUUAGCUAGUUGGUGGGGUAACGGCUCACCAAGGCGACGAUCCCUAGCUGGUCUGAGAGGAUGACCAAGCAAACUUGGACUGGGACACGGUCCAGAACCCUACGGGAGGGAGCAGGGGGGAAUAUUGGACAAAGGGGGCCAGCCCGAUUCCGCCAAGCCGGGUGUAUGAAGGAGGCCUUCGGGUUGGAAAGUACUUUCAGCGGGGAGGCGUUACCCGCAGAAGAAGCACCGGCUAACUCCGUGCCAGCAGCCGCGGUAAUAC